GUUGGUACAUACUGGUGAAUGGCUUUUAAAGCUGCUUCAAAUUGGGCUGUACCUGUGCCAAACGGUACUUCCUUAAACUGCUUGGGUAAAGUAUCUUUAAAGUGAAAGCCCACUAUCUUGUCUUGACCUAAUGCGAUUUCAUCAAAGACUGCCGUACUAAAUUGCGAUAGGUUACCAAUAUCCGGAUAGAGCAAAAUGUUAGCCUUACCAAUCCGCUUAAUCAAGUUUAAACAACGCACAAUCGUGCCAGCAAACGGCGUGUCCAUCACCUCAAAGGCAAUGGUAACAGCGUACUUUUGCGCUAACUCUGCCACUUUCCGCAUGUUAGUAAUGAAAUUGCGUUCUGUUUCUGUGUCAUGUGGCUCAUAAUACACAUCAUAAGCCGCUAACUGGAUAAUACGAAUCCCUAGUUUGCGUGCUAACACACAGGCCUUUUCAAAAAUGGUUAAGCCCUGUUGGACAGUAGUUUUAUUCUUGGAA
rnacentral:sRNA from 1 species